GACGAACCGAGCGAACGUUGUUCGGAAUCCCUGGGCUUAAAGGGCGCGCAGGCGGGCGGUCAAGUCAGGGGUGAAAGCCCCCAGCUCAACUGGGGAAGUGCCUCUGAUACUGGCCGUCUCGAGGGGGAUAGGGGCGUGCGGAACUUCCGGUGGAGCGGUGAAAUGCGUAGAUAUCGGAAGGAACAUCGGUGGCGAAAGCGGCGCGCUGGGUCCCUUCUGACGCUGAGGCGCGAAAGCCAGGGGAGCGAACGGG
rnacentral:rRNA from 1 species